rnacentral:rRNA from 1 species
AUUGAACGCUAGCGGGAUGCCUUACACAUGCAAGUCGAACGGAGUGGCGAACGGGUGAGUAAUGUAUCGGAACGUGCCCAGUCGCGGGGGAUAACUACGCGAAAGCGUAGCUAAUACCGCAUACUAUUGGAGCGGCCGAUAUCGGAUUAGCUAGGUGGUGGGGUAACGGCUCACCAAGGCGACGAUCCGUAGCUGGUUUGAGAGGACGACCAGCCCAGCUGGGACGGAGACACGGCCCAGACUCAGACGUGAGGCAGCAGUGGGGAAUUUUGGACAAGGGGGGAAACCCUGAUCCAGCCAUCCCGCGUGUGCGAUGAGGGCCUUCGGGUUGUAAAGAACUUGUGUCAGGAAAGCGGUACCUGCAGAAUAAGCACCGGCUAACUACGUGCCAGCAGCCGCGGGAAUAC